ACAGCAAAUGGAGGAGUUUGUACAGAGCUCUGGAGAAUAUGGUGUUGUGGUGUUUUCUCUGGGGUCAAUGGUCAGUAACAUGACAGCAGAAAGGGCCAAUGUAAUUGCAACAGCCCUUGCCAAGAUCCCACAAAAGGUUCUUUGGAGAUGUGAUGGGAAUAAACCAGAUGCCUUAGGUCUCAAUACUCGGCUGUACAGGUGGAUACCCCAGAAUGACCUUCUAGGUAAA
rnacentral:lncRNA from 1 species